GGUGGAGCGUUUAGGAGUCUCAACAUGUAAAGGGUGGUUGGAGUUUCAAAGAGCUGAGAAAGAACUUGACGAGGGAUGGCAGAGAGGUACGAAGUUCAGGAAAGUGAUGUCGUGAAGCCAAGGGAGAGAGAUGUGAGAAGAGAAUGGCAACAUGUUGAAAGUUGCACGGAGGUCAAAUAAAAGGGAAGACACCUCCAUACAUUUAGGAAAAAGCUGGAGGCAGAAACGAGACUGUAGUGCGUUGGAGAGUGAAUGGGAGAGAGAUGAACAUAGUGUAUAUGCUGGCCUAAGAAAGGCAAGCAAGAGAUUGGGCAGGACCCAGAGGAGAUGUUGGAUUGUGGGAGGUGUCUGCAUUCCUUCAAAAGCAGACCUUGAAACAGAAUUGAGUGCAAGUGGUUUAUUUUGGAGAUGAUCCCAGGAAACACCAAUAUGGGUGGCGGGUGAAGAAAGGAGACAUCAGUAAAGAAUAUUUCAGCAAGCAAGAUGAAUGUGGGAAUAUGGAGCUUAACUUUAUUGGGUAACCCUGGAAGACAGUAUGGACUGUGUAUUCAAAGUUAAUUCCCCAUUAACUUUGGGGAGCUGGGAUAUAUUUAUCCACCAAUUUUAGUCAUUGGUUGAGCUUCCGUUCCUUGGGGAUUGGGGAAGCAUUAAUUUCCCAGGCACCUUUAGCAGGCCAUGUGCAUGGGGAAAGGAGGCUCUGGCAGCCAGAUAAAGUCCUCACGUAAAAAGACAGGAGAUGGCAGUUGGAAGUUGGAUGAAAGUGAUGAAAAUGACACUGAAGAAUGAGCUGUAGAAGGAACAGAGAGUUAGAAGCUAGAAAAGUACAUGGAGAACCAUACAACUGUGGUGUCAUAAAAGGAACUUGGAUGGAGCCAGAGGCCAUUAUCCUUAGC
rnacentral:lncRNA from 1 species